CAGUCUCAGCGGUGAAUGCCUUGGCAUCGGUAGGCGAUGAAGGACGUGGUAAGCUGCGAUAAGCUUCGGGGAGCGGCAAACACGCUAUGAUCCGGAGAUGUCCGAAUGGGGAAACCCGUCCCGAGUUAUAUCGGGAUAUUCACGGUUGAAUUCAUAGGCCGUGAAAGCAAAACCAGGGGAAGUGAAACAUCUCAGUACCCUGAGGAAAAGAAAACGCAAGUGAUUCCCCCAGUAGUGGCGAGCGAAAGGGGAUUAGCCCAAACCAUCCGGCUUGCCGGAUGGGGUCGCGGGGCCGCAACAUGAAGACGGAAGGGAUAGCAGAAGUGUUCUGGAAGGUUCCACCAUAGCGGGUGAUAGUCCCGUAUGCGAAAUUCCAACCGUCUCUAGCGGUACCCCAAGUAAAGCGGGACACGUGAAACCCUGCUUG
rnacentral:rRNA from 1 species